rnacentral:misc_RNA from 1 species
GUAGGUGAACCUGCGGAAGGAUCAUUAUCGUUGGGCUUCUGCCCCUCGAGAUAGCACCCUUUGGCUAUUAGUACCUAUUGUUUCCUCAGCAAGAUGCCUUGCUAAUGGGGACCCUAUAAACCCUUUUGUAGUAGCACUACACAUUGAAUACUCAAUAUAUUACAACUUUCAACAACGGAUCUCUUGGCUCUGGCAUCGAUGAAGAACGCAGCAUCUGACUGACUGAACUGUAUCUCAUCUCGUAUGCCGU